rnacentral:rRNA from 1 species
GCGGAGUAAUACAUAAGACGUGCCCUAAAGACUGGGAUAGUCAUUGGAAACGAUGGGUAAUACCAGAUGAGGCCUUCUUGGCAUCUUGAGAAGAUCAAACGGUUUUUCGCUUUAGGAGCGGCUUAUGGCCUAUGGUAGUUGGUGGGGUAAUGGCCUACCAAGCCGACGACGGGUAGCGGGUCUGAGAGGAUUCCGCUCGAGUGGGACUGAGACACGGCCCACACACCUACGGGUGGCAGCAGUUGGGAAUUGCACAAUGGGGGAAACCCUGAUGCAGCGACGCCGCGUGGAGGAUGACGGGUCUAGGUGUAAACUCCUUUUGAUGGGAAAGACUUAGGACGGUACCCAUUGAAUAAGGACCGGCUCUACGUGCCAGCAGCCGCGGUAAGACGUAGGGUCCAAGCGUUGUCCGGAUUUACUGGGUAAAGAGCGCGUAGGCGGUCUGUUAAGUGUGAAGUGAAAUCUCCAGGGCUCAACCCGGACUGCUUCGCAUACUGGCAGACUUGAGGGAUGCAGAGGUUUGUGGAAUUCCUGGUGUAGGUGAUAUGCGUAGAUAUCAGGAGGAACACCCAUGGCGAAGGCAGCAAACUGGGCAUCCUGACGCUGAGGCGCGAAAGCGUGGGUAGCAAACAGGAUUAGAUACCCUGGUAGUCCGCCCUAAACGAUGGAUACUAGACGUAAGAGGUAUCGACCCCUCUUGUGUCGCAGCUAAC